GGGUUGUGAGGUUAAGCGAACAAGCGUACACGGUGGAUGCCCUGGCAGUCAGAGGCGAUGAAGGACGUGCUAAUCUGCGAAAAGCGCCGGUAAGGUGAUAUGAACCGUUAUAACCGGCGAUGUCCGAAUGGGGAAACCCGGUGCACUUCGGUGCAUCAUCGUUAGCUGAAUACAUAGGCUAACGAGGCGAACCGGGGGAACUGAAACAUCUAAGUACCCCGAGGAAAAGAAAUCAACCGAGAUUCCCCCAGUAGCGGCGAGCGAACGGGGAACAGCCCAGAGCCUGAAUCAGCUUGUGUGUCAGUGGAACGGUCUGGAAAGGCCGGCGAUACAGGGUGACAGCCCCGUACACGAAGGCACACAGGCUGUGAGCUCGAUGAGUAGGGCGGGACACGUGAUAUCCUGUCUGAAGAUGGGGGGACCAUCCUCCAAGGCUAAAUACUCCUGACUGACCGAUAGUGAACCAGUACCGUGAGGGAAAGGCGAAAAGAACCCCGGCGAGGGGAGUGAAACAGAACCUGAAACCGUGUACGUACAAGCAGUGGGAGCCUUCGUAAGAGGGUGACUGCGUACCUUUUGUAUAAUGGGUCAGCGACUUAUAUUCUGUAGCAAGGUUAACCGUAUAGGGGAGCCGAAGGGAAACCGAGUCUUAAUUGGGCGUUAAGUUGCAGGGUAUAGACCCGAAACCCGGUGAUCUAGCCAUGGGCAGGUUGAAGGUUGGGUAACACUAACUGGAGGACCGAACCGACUAAUGUUGAAAAAUUAGCGGAUGACCUGUGGCUGGGGGUGAAAGGCCAAUCAAACCGGGAGAUAGCUGGUUCUCCCCGAAAGCUAUUUAGGUAGCGCCUCGUGAACUCAUCUCCGGGGGUAGAGCACUGUUUCGGCUAGGGGGCCAUCCCGGCUUACCAACCCGAUGCAAACUGCGAAUACCGGAGAAUGUUAUCACGGGAGACACACGGCGGGUGCUAACGUCCGUCGUGAAGAGGGAAACAACCCAGACCGCCAGCUAAGGUCCCAAAGUCAUGGUUAAGUGGGAAACGAUGUGGGAAGGCCCAGACAGCCAGGAUGUUGGCUUAGAAGCAGCCAUCAUUUAAAGAAAGCGUAAUAGCUCACUGGUCGAGUCGGCCUGCGCGGAAGAUGUAACGGGGCUAAACCAUGCACCGAAGCUGCGGCAGCGACGCUUAUGCGUUGUUGGGUAGGGGAGCGUUCUGUAAGCCUGCGAAGGUGUGCUGUGAGGCAUGCUGGAGGUAUCAGAAGUGCGAAUGCUGACAUAAGUAACGAUAAAGCGGGUGAAAAGCCCGCUCGCCGGAAGACCAAGGGUUCCUGUCCAACGUUAAUCGGGGCAGGGUGAGUCGACCCCUAAGGCGAGGCCGAAAGGCGUAGUCGAUGGGAAACAGGUUAAUAUUCCUGUACUUGGUGUUACUGCGAAGGGGGGACGGAGAAGGCUAUGUCGGCCGGGCGACGGUUGUCCCGGUUUAAGCGUGUAGGCUGACUUUCCAGGCAAAUCCGGAAAGUUAAGGCUGAGGCGUGAUGACGAGGCACCACGGUGCUGAAGUGACAAAUGCCCUGCUUCCAGGAAAAGCCUCUAAGCAUCAGGUAACAUCAAAUCGUACCCCAAACCGACACAGGUGGUCAGGUAGAGAAUACCAAGGCGCUUGAGAGAACUCGGGUGAAGGAACUAGGCAAAAUGGUGCCGUAACUUCGGGAGAAGGCACGCUGACAUGUAGGUGAAGCCCCUGCGGGUGGAGCUGAAGUCAGUCGAAGAUACCAGCUGGCUGCAACUGUUUAUUAAAAACACAGCACUGUGCAAACACGAAAGUGGACGUAUACGGUGUGACGCCUGCCCGGUGCCGGAAGGUUAAUUGAUGGGGUUAUCGCAAGAGAAGCUCCUGAUCGAAGCCCCGGUAAACGGCGGCCGUAACUAUAACGGUCCUAAGGUAGCGAAAUUCCUUGUCGGGUAAGUUCCGACCUGCACGAAUGGCGUAAUGAUGGCCAGGCUGUCUCCACCCGAGACUCAGUGAAAUUGAACUCGCUGUGAAGAUGCAGUGUACCCGCGGCAAGACGGAAAGACCCCGUGAACCUUUACUACAGCUUGACACUGAACAUUGAGCCUUGAUGUGUAGGAUAGGUGGGAGGCUUUGAAGCGUGGACGCCAGUCUGCGUGGAGCCAACCUUGAAAUACCACCCUUUAAUGUUUGAUGUUCUAACCUGGCGCCGUGAUCCGGCGUGGGGACAGUGUCUGGUGGGUAGUUUGACUGGGGCGGUCUCCUCCCAAAGUGUAACGGAGGAGCACGAAGGUCAGCUAAUCCUGGUCGGACAUCAGGAGGUUAGUGCAAUGGCAUAAGCUGGCUUGACUGCGAGAGUGACGGCUCGAGCAGGUGCGAAAGCAGGUCAUAGUGAUCCGGUGGUUCUGUAUGGAAGGGCCAUCGCUCAACGGAUAAAAGGUACUCCGGGGAUAACAGGCUGAUACCGCCCAAGAGUUCAUAUCGACGGCGGUGUUUGGCACCUCGAUGUCGGCUCAUCACAUCCUGGGGCUGAAGUAGGUCCCAAGGGUAUGGCUGUUCGCCAUUUAAAGUGGUACGCGAGCUGGGUUUAGAACGUCGUGAGACAGUUCGGUCCCUAUCUGCCGUGGGCGCUGGAGAAUUGAGGGGGGCUGCUCCCAGUACGAGAGGACCGGAGUGGACGCAUCACUGGUGUUCGGGUUGUCAUGCCAAUGGCACUGCCCGGUAGCUAAAUGCGGAAGAGAUAAGUGCUGAAAGCAUCUAAGCACGAAACUUGCCCCGAGAUGAGUUCUCCCUGAGACUAUAAGUCUCCUGAAGGAACGUUGAAGACGACGACGUUGAUAGGCCGGGUGUGUAAGCGCAGCGAUGCGUUGAGCUAACCGGUACUAAUGAACCGUGAGGCUUAACCUUACAACGCCAAAGAAGU
rnacentral:rRNA from 1 species